AGUGAACGCUGGCGGUAGGCCUAACACAUGCAAGUCGAACGGCAGCACAGUAAGAGCUUGCUCUUACGGGUGGCGAGUGGCGGACGGGUGAGGAAUACAUCGGAAUCUACUUUUUCGUGGGGGAUAACGUAGGGAAACUUACGCUAAUACCGCAUACGACCUACGGGUGAAAGCAGGGGAUCUUCGGACCUUGCGCGAUUGAAUGAGCCGAUGUCGGAUUAGCUAGUUGGCGGGGUAAAGGCCCACCAAGGCGACGAUCCGUAGCUGGUCUGAGAGGAUGAUCAGCCACACUGGAACUGGGACACGGACCAGACUCCUACGGGAGGGAGCAGUGGGGAAUAUUGGACAAUGGGCGCAAGCCUGAUCCAACCAUACCGCGUGGGUGAAGAAGGCCUUCGGGUUGUAAAGCCCUUUUGUUGGGAAAGAAAAGCAGCAGGUUAAUACCCAGCUGUUCUGACGGUACCCAAAGAAUAAGCACCGGCUAACUUCGUG
rnacentral:rRNA from 1 species